CUACGGGUUGCAGCAGGCGAGAAAACUUUGCAAUGUGCGAAAGCACGACAAGGCUAAUCCGAGUGGUUUGUGCUAAACGAACCUUUUGACAGUCCUAGAAACACUGUUGAAUAAGGGGUGGGCAAGUUCUGGUGUCAGCCGCCGCGGUAAAACCAGCACCUCAAGUGGUCAGGAUGAUUAUUGGGCCUAAAGCAUCCGUAGCCGGCUCUGUAAGUUUUCGGUUAAAUCUGUACGCUCAACGUACAGGCUGCCGGGAAUACUGCAGAGCUAGGGAGUGGGAGAGGUAGACGGUACUCGGUAGGAAGGGGUAAAAUCCUUUGAUCUAUUGAUGACCACCUGUGGCGAAGGCGGUCUACCAGAACACGUCCGACGGUGAGGGAUGAAAGCUGGGGGAGCAAACCGGAUUAGAUACCCGAGUAGUC
rnacentral:rRNA from 1 species